GACGGAGGGUGCUAGCGUUGUUCGGAAUUACUGGGCGUAAAGGGCGCGCAGGCGGCCUUUCAAGUCAGGGGUGAAAGCCCGGAGCUCAACUCCGGAAUUGCCUUUGAAACUGUCAGGCUCGAGUACGGGAGAGGUGAGUGGAAUUCCCAGUGUAGAGGUGAAAUUCGUAGAUAUUGGGAAGAACACCGGUGGCGAAGGCGGCUCACUGGCCCGUUUCUGACGCUCAGGCGCGACAGCGUGGGGAGCAAACAGG
rnacentral:rRNA from 1 species